rnacentral:misc_RNA from 1 species
UCUCCGUUGGUGAACCAGCGGAGGGAUCAUUACCGAGUUCUUCUACUCCCAGACCCCUGUGAACUUAUACCUUUACUGUUGCUUCGGCGGGUUAACGCCCCGGAAGGCCCAAAAAGCCGCCGGAACCAGGCGCCCGCCGGGGGACCCAAACUCUUGUAUUUCUUACUUUGCAUGUCUGAGUGGAAUCAUAAACAAAUGAAUCAAAACUUUCAACAACGGAUCUCUUGGUUCUG